UACGAAGGGGGCUAGCGUUGUUCGGAAUUACUGGGCGUAAAGGGCGCGUAGGCGGAUAGUUUAGUCAGAGGUGAAAGCCCAGGGCUCAACCUUGGAAUUGCCUUUGAUACUGGCUAUCUUGAGUUCGGGAGAGGUGAGUGGAAUGCCGAGUGUAGAGGUGAAAUUCGUAGAUAUUCGGCGGAACACCAGUGGCGAAGGCGACUCACUGGACAUGUAUUGACGCUGAGGUACGAAAGCGUGGGGAGCAAACAGG
rnacentral:rRNA from 1 species